CGGACGGGUGAGUAAUGUCUGGGAAACUGCCCGAUGGAGGGGGAUAACUACUGGAAACGGUAGCUAAUACCGCAUAACGUCGCAAGACCAAGAGGGGACCUUCGGGCCUCUUGCCAUCGGAUGUGCCCAGAUGGGAUUAGCUAGUAGGUAAGGUAACGGCUUACCUAGGCGACGAUCCCUAGCUGGUCUGAGAGGAUGAUCAGCCACACUGGGACUGAGACACGGCCCAG
rnacentral:rRNA from 1 species